UUUAGCUGUAAAAGAAGAAGAAGUAGCUUACUAAGGCCCUUUAAUAUUACUGAGUAACUGAGAAGUUCACUGUCCUUAUAAAUUUGAAGAGAGACAUCUAGUCAGUCAUGUUGUGCCCUUGAAUGUUGACAGUGGCAGCAUUAGAACGUCUUCGGGUUUGAAGAUGGCAGAUUCUGCUGUUCAACUGAUCAACCCAAAAGCCUCAGCCAGCAGCUGAACAGGAAGCGUCUGCAUAUUCGUGACGCCCUCCCUGAAUCUUUGCUCCUCCCUGUAAAGCUGCUGAUCUCCUCCAGAGUUUGUUCACCGAAACUCCAGUUCACACAAACAUCGCCUGCUCUUCCAGCUGGGCGGACCUCUCUGCUGCUCAAACCUUCAAGACAGAAGAAAAAAUAUUACGUCACAGUUCUUUUGAAAAUUUAAGAAAC